rnacentral:other from 1 species
CUCUGCGGUGUUUGCCAGCGGGCCCGUAUAAUGCCUUGUCCCUAGUUUUUGACCUAGGGUCGGCAGCGUCGGUAGUCGGUGUGCAUGUUCGCCAUGGAGCGAAAAGCCUGAGACCCGGCAAGCCCACCCACCUGAACCACUGGUUCAAGGUCACCGGUCCCGCAGCGGCAUCCGUGGAGGGU